UGCGAUGACCUAAUGUAUCAUGCUCUAGGAAUACACAAAAAACUGCCACUGAGGAUUUUGGAGACUUUUCUGUAUCAGAUGCAGAGGUGUUGGAUACAUGAGGUCUAGCAGGAGUUUUGUACAAGAGUCACGUGUCCAGUGUCAUGAAACUAAAUCCACGUCAGGCUCCGUUAUAUGGCAGUUGUGUGUUAACCAUUCAGCUCAGUGAUGAAGAGCUUGGUGUGGGUGUGUUUGAGGGGGAGGAUGUGGAGCUGUUUCUAGUGCUCACCGGAUCCACACAGAGGCAUGUCAGCAGCGUUCUUAGGCUCAGCCGUGACACCCUGCAACUGGUGUGCCCAGCUCACGACUGCUGUGAAACAGUCGUGGUCACGCUGUGCUGGGCAGACCCACACGGCCUUGUGCACCAACUUGCCUCGGAGCACAUGUGCUUCACCCAGGACCUGGCCUUCGACAUGGCCCACUUCCUGGUAGGCAGCGUGGGCCAUGCCGACAUGCUGGAGGGCGUUCUGCUGCUGGACGAGCACCAGAUCCCCCUGCAGGAGUGCGAGAGGCUGGACCAGAGCCUGGCCCUCGCUCUCGCCCAUCUCACGCCGCCCCCUGGCUUGAAUCUUCUGGGGAACAGCGGCGACCCAGAGCCUCAGGAGACCCUCCUGCAUUUCGCCGCCCGCCGAGGGCUCUGUCGAGUGGCCAGCUUCCUCCUUCAGCAGCCUGGGGCACGGGAUGCUCUGGCCCUCCCAAACAAGCAGGGGGCCACCCCAGCCAGCCUGGCCCACAGCAGUGGGCACCGUGCCCUGCUGGAGCUCCUCACCCAGUGGCUUGUUUCGGGCAGGGAGACGACGGGCACCCGGCACAGCACUGAGACACGUCACCACGUUUCCUCGGGUGCUUGUGUGGUGCAGCACCACCCGUGUCUGAACACUUACACCUUGUCAGUGGGCACCCAGCCUGGCACUGCGCCCCGCAACCUGCAGGCAGACGUGCAAGACCUGCGCCACCUGAUCUUCCAGGGAGGAGCGGCCCGAGACCAUGCGGACGUAGCAGAGACAAAAGGGGCCUGCUUCGAACAGCUGCAGCACGACUCCCUUGACAGCGGAGAGCAAGGGUCGACUCCUGCGUGUGUGAAAGGAAGCGUGGACGAGUGUGCCCACUGCGAGGAUCUGCUCUGGUGUGAGGAGGGGGACAGCGUUCUGGGCUCGAGCGCCAUUAGUGAGGAGGAGCGGGUGUGUUCUCGGGGAAACGUCGAGGGGGAUUACGGAGCGCGAGUGCCCGGCGCAGUUGCUUGUGUAGGGGGACCAGGCAGGGAGGGAGAUAGUGGUGACAGCUUACAGAGCCAGUCAGAGGGGGAGAGCAGAGCUGUCCAAGCUCCAUCCUGUGGAAAGGAGGGAGAGGAAACUGAUAGAGCUCAAGACUUGAUCUGCGAGACACAGGGGAGUACUGAGGGGCCUUCCGAGGAGGUCCAGGAAGAGGGGUGCAGCUCUGAAAGACCAAACCAGCCUCUGGAGAAAGAAUUAUCAGAGCACAGAGGAGCAUCAGGAGAUAUGGGAAUCACACAGUCGCUCGACACACCUGAAAGUUCUGAUGGGGAUUCUUGCUCCCACGACACAUACAGCAGCGAUGAGACUAAAGUAGAGAAUGGGAACACUGAUUCUCUUGAACUGGAGGGCAAGAGAGUACAUAAGGAACUGCCCGACUUAACCCCAGCAACGGAUCAACUAUCGAAUAGCUCAUGUGAAAAAGGUGGGAACGAAACAAAUGUGUCGAGGGUCACAUGUUCAAGUCCAUCUUCUACAGCAGAUACGGAACAUUUCUUAAAGGACAGUCAGGAAAUAAACACCAGGCAGAACUGUUGUGACCAGACAAGUGACAGCUAUGAAAUAGGAGCUAAAGAACAAGAAAAGGAUGAAGGACACAAUAGUGAAGUCCAGGAAGACGGUACCCCUGAUAUCUUGUCUCCUAGCACUGAAACAGAAAGCAGAAAAGAACAGUGUGAUAUAACUUGUCACCAUAGAGAUAUAUCUGAUAACACUUUAGAGGACAGAUGCCAAGAGAAAAGCAAUUUUGAGGAGACAAACGAGCCUCAGGCAUUCUUAGGUCCAGAGUGUAAUGGUCACAUACUACAUUAUUCAGGUUUUGAACUGGAUGUUUCAUCUUCAGUGACAUUUAAUGCUGUUUCCGGAAAUAAUUCCCCCUUACUUGAGCAAGAAACAGAAGCGAGCAGUAAGGAACAACUCGACACAGGGGAACAAGACCCGACUGAGGUAAGCGAAACAGCAGCAAGAAGUGAAAGUGAGAUACAACAAUCGAGAAGCACUAGUUAUGUCUCACUGCAUGAACCUGGCACAGAGCCUGAAUCCCCCACAACAACUAGUGAGGAUACCUUAGAACUUGAUGAAUCUGAGAGUUGGGCUACAGAUGUAGCACAGGGGAUUUCUUGCAGUGACCAGCCUGAUGGUCCUCAGAAAUACACUCUCAAUUCUGACUUUCAGCAGGUAGCAUGGUUAGAAGACACAAGGAACAAGGGGAACAAGGAUCUUUUAGAACGCCAUGACUCUUUUGAAGACCAGACAGCAGAAAUCAUGUUGGAAAGUGGUUAUGUCCAUAAUACACAAGAUAUGAACUUUAUCCCUCAUGAAAACAGUGAAAACAUUCCUGACCCAGGAGAUGGAGUUACCCCUCAAAAUUCUGUAGUUGAUCACCCAGGAGACAUGGAGGAACUGAGGGACACUGGAAAUUCUGAAAACAGCCAAACAAUCCGAGAGGAAAAACUCCAACUUUGCUUGGACCACAGUAACUCUGAAGGUGGCGUUUUGCCUACCUUGAAUGCAACUGAUUUGGUAGAAGAUUCACUUUUAUUUGAAGAACAACCAAGUGUGACCGAGCUGAGAGGCGAUGCUAGCUCUAAGCCAGUAGUGAGGAAGACAGAUUCUGCGCGUACAGAGACAUCUGAGACACAAGAAGUACAGGAAAAAGAGUCUGAACUUCAUCAGAACACACAUGUCAAGGCACUUCAAAAAGGUCUCGUCACAGAGACAGAUGUCCCUUUGGAAAAUCAGGUGGACCUUCCAACAGAAACAUGUCCUGAUGUAAACAGCAGCAAUGAUGCUUCCAUGAUUCAGAGAGAGAGAAACUUUAUGUUUCAUGACUGCACCCAGGAGUCCAACAACAGUAAGGCCCAAGAGAAGAGACGUAACUCGGUGUGCACAGAGAGUCCGCGGUUGCCAGCCCAAGGCAGUACAGGCAGUGCCACAGUCCGAGACUCUGGCAGUGACACAGAUGGCUUCAUCAGCACAGACACAGGAGAAGACAACAUCUUCAGGAAGGAAGAGGAGGUGGUAGGCGCAGGCAACCCCGCCAGUGAGGUGUCUGCCUCCUGCUCCUCCACGGACAACGCGGCCAUCCUGGGCCCUCCGAUCUCCUCCGCUGAGAGCUCCAAGGAGGCACAGCGGGUGGAUGGUUUUGCGGCGGCGGUAGACGCGGACGAGGAGGCCAAGGACCGGCUGACGGAGGUGCCCCUGUGUUCCUCCCUGCUCCACUCCAGCAGGCGCUCGCAAUCACCCUUCCGGCGCCACAGCUGGGAGCCGGGGAUAAACUGGGGGGCCGGUGGAGACAUGAGCCAGCGCAGUUCUGUACGGAGUGCUGGGAACCCAAAGCCUGUCUUUCACAGAAGAAGUUACAGUCUGGAGGGCCUGGCAGCAGAGCAGGAUGAUGGGAAAGGAUGGCAGCCCCAGCGGUGGGGGCCGUCCCAGGGCCAGCGGGGCGAGCGCAGGGGCUCCCACGUGUCUCUCCCAGAGGAAGGGCCAGAGUCAGACCAAGGAGAGCACCACUGCCUUGAUGAUCAGAAACUGAGGCGAUAUCUGCCAGUAAGACGCAGCGGUCAAUCCAUGACUCUCCCCCUCCAAGCGUCUGUUUCCAUGCUGGCCAUCAGCCAGAGGGACAUAGAUGGUUUGAGGUCCUAUGCUAGCACUUCAAGUUCUCUGGGCUACAGUAUCACAGAAGAGGAGCCCGGCCCUUUAAAAGAGGGGUUUGAAGGAAAGAGCGGAACCAAAAUGAGCCGCACCUUCAGUUACCUGAAGAGUAAAAUGUACAAGAAAACCAGGGAAAAAGACAAAGAGAAGAACAGGGAAAAAGACAGAGAAGCUAAGGACCGGGAGAAGAAGGCAGUGAGCGGACAUCUGUUCAGCUCAGUGACGUUGUCCCAUACAGCUUCUUGUCAACACUGCAACAAACCCCUCAGCACUAAAGAUGCUGUCAGCUGCACAAGUUGCAAUGUGUGUGUUCACAAGAGCUGCAGGGAUAACAUUCCUGUGUGUCCCAAGGGAAAGAUUCAAAAACAACAGUUAGUCAUCCCAGAGUUAACCACUAUGCCAGGAGUUACUUUAAGAGUGAAAAAUUCAGCACCACGGGAAAGGCCUUGGUCGGCCAUCUUGUCUCCUGAUGACCAACAUUUGGGGGUUGCUCCUCGUAGACACACAAGCAUCAUGCCUUUCAACAGCAGUAACCUCUCCAAAAGCAUGUCAAUCAGCAACAUAGCAGUAUUUGAUGACAUGUCCAUAAAGGGUCUGAGGUAUCUGUCGCAGUCCACUGACUCUUUGCACAAAGUCAGCAAGGUCGUUGAGUCCACAGAGUCUCUGAUAGAUGAAGGGACGGAGAUGAUCGACGGACAGCUGAUGGGAGAGUUUGAGGCAGAAACCAAAGAACUGGAGGCCGACUCCUGGAGCUUCACCACGGAUAAGAAAUACCUAAAGAAGCUCCGGAAGGACGUCAUCAAGAGACAAGAUGUCAUUUAUGAGCUGAUCCAGACAGAGAUGCACCAUCUGCGGACGCUGCGGAUCAUGGCGGACGUGUACAGCAAGGGCCUGCUGAAGGAAGUGCAGCUGGAGAUGCAGACAGUGGAGAAGAUGUUCCCCGUGCUGGACGACCUUCUGGAGCUCCACACACUCUUUUUCAACAGCCUCCUGGAUAGGAGGAGGGAGGCUAGGCAGGAGGGCGCAGAUGACUGCAUCGUCAUCCACAGGAUCGGGGAUGUCCUGGUCAGCCAGUUCUCUGGGUCUAACGCUGAAAGCAUGAAGAAGGUGUACGGCAAGUUCUGUAGCCGACACAGCGAGGCAGUGAACUUAUACAAGGAGCUGCAUGCCAAAGACAAGCGCUUCCAGGCCUUCAUCAGGAAAAAGAUGAGCAGCAGUGUGGUGCGACGGCUCAGCAUCCCAGAGUGCAUCCUGCUCGUCACGCAGCGAAUAACCAAGUACCCUGUCUUGAUGCAGAGGAUCCUCCAGCACACGAAAGACCAUGAAGAGGACUUUGAGGACCUGACACAGGCUCUGCAUCUCGUCAAAGAGGUCAUCGCCGCUGUGGACAGGAAGGUGAAUGAGCAUGAGAAGAAGAGGAGACUAAAAGAGAUCUACAGCCGGACAGAUGGCAAGUCCAUCAUGCGCAUGAAGAGCGGUCAGAUGUUUGCUCGAGAAGAUCUCAUAAGAGGCAGGAAGCUCCUUCACGAUGGCCCGCUACAGCUGAAGAACUCGGCAGGCAGGCUAAAGGAUGUUCAGGCACUGUUGCUUACUGACGUGCUGGUGUUCCUGCAAGAGAAGGACCAGAAAUAUGUCUUCGCUUCUCUGGACCAGCGCGCCACUGUCAUCUCCCUCCAGAAGCUGAUUGUCAGAGAGGUGGCUAACGAGGACCGCGGCCUUUUCCUCAUCACGGCGGGAAUCAAGCACCCCGAGAUGGUGGAGGUUCACGCCACGUCGCGGGAGGAGCGCAACACCUGGAUGAAGCUCCUCCAGGGUGCCAUGCACUCCAUAGAAAAGGACGACGACGAAGGGAUCCCCAGUGAGACAGAGGAGGAUAAGAAGCUUCUGGAGUCCAAAGCCAAAGAAAUGAGAGACAUGCUCCAGAGGAAGGAUGAUCAGAUCUUGGCUCUGCUGCAGGAGAAGAUGAAGCUUUUCCAUGAUAUGUGUGAGUAUGGCUCCACCGACGAUGCCGGCUUAUCCAUCAAGAUGCUCUUCAGGGCCUGCAGUGACGAGACACCCAAAGGAGAAACCCUCAUGAAGGACGCUAUUAGAGAAGUGGAGAUGUUGCAGACCUUGGUGAACAGCAGCCUGGGUGGGGCGAUGGGUCAACAGGUGGAUGGCGGAGUGGGCACUGCCGCCUCCGUAUGCCUGCCUCGCCGUGCCGACACCUUCGGGGGCUUCGACAGCCACCAGAUGAACACCUCAAAAAAUGCAGAGGGUGGAGAGCCUGAAGACCUGCGGAGGACAGAGUCCGACAGCAUCCUGAAGAAGGGGGGGAACGCCCACCUGCUGCUCUUACUGAAGAGGAACAGCGAGCAGGUUCUGAGUAGUGUUACUCACCUCCACGAUCUGCUCAAUUCACUGCAGGCCGUGGUGGUCCAGCAGGACACCCUUGUCGAGGACCAGCGGCAGGCCUUGAGUGAGCGCACCUCCUCCCAGUCCUCCUUGCGCACCUCCUCCCGACCCCCGUCCCUGGUGGAGCAGGAGAAGCAGCGCAGCCUGGAGCGGCACCGCCAGGAUGCGGCUGCCCUGCAGCGACAGCAGACUGCCCACGCCGAGGAGAGGAGGCGCCGGGAGAAGGAGUGGGAGGCGCGUGAGAAGGAGCUGGCGGAGCGAGAGUUGCUGCUCCAUGCUAGGGAGGAUGAGGCGCGGAGGGGGCGGCGGGAGCUAGAGGAGGCACAGCAAGAGUUGCAGGGGAGGAAGGAGGACUACCAGAGAGACCUGGAAAGGCUGAGGGACUCGCAGAGGAGGCUGGAGAGAGACAAAGAGCUGCUGCAGAGGGAAAUGGAGAAGGUGGAACAUCUCAGGGAGACAGAGGAUCGCUUGAACAGGACGCUGUCCAGCACGUCGGAGGACUCGCUGAAUGUCCAGGGCAGCACUGGCUCUCUGGAGCGGGAGCCGGGCGAGGUGGACCGUGCCCUGAGCCCCAUGAAGAGCUCCCUCUCCAGAGUGGACUCUAAGCAGAAGAGCCGCAACCUCAACCCCUUCUCCCUGGGACCCAGAGCAGCCAGCGGUGAGAAGCAGAUCCCCAGCUGCCUGCUCCAGCUGACCAGGGCCAAGGACAAGAAGGAGAAGAAGAAGAAGAAAAGCAAGGUCAAGCCCUCGCGCGAAGCAGAGUCCCAUCUGCUGCCACUGGCCGAGCCUGCCCUGGAUGGAGAGAUUUUCUUCUGCUGAGUUGCGGUUCGACACCAGUCGGCCCGUAAUCUCUUCCGACGCUAAGCUAGCCGCGCCAGCUGAAUGUAACUCCAUGCAGGACGCCAGCCAAAGUUCCGCCGCCCGAGUGUCUCUGGCACAGGAUGCCACACUAAUCGGGGAAUUUGCCCCCGAAACCCCUCCCAUGUCCUGCAUAACUGCGUGUUCGAAUCGUUGAAUGCAUUCUAGCCAGUCAGCAGCACCAAGUCUGCCUCAUUCUUCAAGCACCACGUUCCGUUUGUCUGAAGAAGUUGCCCUUACACGCAGAUUUAAGGGAUCAAUCAGUCAUUUUCCACCAGUGAUUCUUCUUCAUAUUAGGAAACCAUUAUAAUGACACCUAGUGGCCUGGCUCUAUCAGCGCUUCUAUGCUAAAUAUUAAAUAAACAUGGCUACCUCGAUGUGGGGGACUCGUUCUAUGGAGCAUAAACGGGUUCAUUUGGGGGACUUUAAAGCAGUUUGAUUCUGCAUCUGAUGUGUGCUGAACUCUAUAGAAUUUUUUUUAAAUAAUAAUAAUCACUUUUAUAAGUAUUGUUUGCUACUUUAUGGUGGUACAAUGACUGAAUGCUCCUUUAAAUGGGUUUGGUCCUUCGGUAGUGUACCCACAGUUCCUGACUAGUGUCAUCUGAGCUGUUAAGAGAUCUAAAGCAAGAGGUUCAUUCAGAGAAGCUUCAAACAGUGGGUGAAAUUACAAGGGAUGUAUUUGUAAUGAUCUCACUGACUGACAAUAUGUUGGUCACACUUGAAAUGACACUACCUUGUGUAGUGGGCUAGUUGAACGCUCCAUAAAUUGCAAUAACCACACGGAUAUCACAGCAGAGUGAGAACAGUGCCACAUUUCAGCAAUUGACUCUUCUCAUGGUCAAUAAAUUACACGUUCCAACCUUGAUUUUCCUGAUCUAUUUCCAAAACGAUUAACGUUCGGAUGCGAUAUUUCCACAGCCCCAAGCUGAAAUAAACGCAACCCUUUUGGGUGACAUCUCUGCUAGGCUGCGUUCAUCUGCUGUGCCAAACGGAAUCAGAUUUGCUCAGUGUGCACAAAGUGCUCCUUCCUGCACAAUCUGUCUCGUCGUUGCUCUCCCAGCAGCUUCUGGCGCUGCAGCAGUGCCACUAGUUGCCAACUGUUGGUUAUGGAGCCGUGAAACCUGUUGCUAAGGUAACAGGCAAACUAGAUUGCAGGUGGAGUGCAUGCUUUCAGGGAUCAUGUAAUGAUGGCGAAUUGCUUUUUUAGGUGAAUGGCCUUAGUUUUAAAUUAUAUCUUUGCCGACCAAGGAAACAACAAGGGGAAAUCGUGUUCUUCGGGUCAGGUGUACUGACUCCUUUUGGGUAUAGUAAAUCUAGGCCAAUGUACAAUCCAAGACAAAUAUUUGCAAAACAAAACUCAAGAUUGGACUUUUCAUCAUUUGAAUCAAAAUAUUUACAGAAAUUUACCGCAACAUUAAAAAAAAGUUGUUUGACCCACAAAAACGUCCCUGAAACAAUUUGUUCUUGCUAUUUUAGUAUAGGUAACGUGCAAAAAGAUGAGAUGCAGCCUUUUCCAAAAUGGUUUUAUGUUUAAUAGCUUAGAGUAGUGUUCACCAUAUGCUGACCAUUUAAACUCCAUGCCCCUGGUGGUCUGUUAAAACCAACUCGACCCUAAUAUUCAGAUACUCCUGAAGUCCCCGUUGAUGGUCAAAACUCUGGAGGGCAGCAGAUAUUCAGGAACAAUGUUUGGCAACUUCUGCUAUAAUGUAUUGGUAUACCUCUCACUAGUGAUCACAUACUGGCAGGCUAUGGCUUCUGGUGAAAUAUUUGCUGCCUUUUCACUCUGAACUCAAACAGGCUUUCUUGUUGCAACAAGCCUUCUGCUUGGGAGAACAACAAGUAAACAAAGGAACAGGUGUGCAGAAUCAGUGGAUUACCUGGACACGCCCUCUUCUCAUGCCCCCCCAUAUUUCACCCUACAUGGCCCAUGCCCCACCCCUUCUUACUACUCUGACUGGAGGUAAAUUGAUUUAAUUGCAGAUGAAUUGGUUGGACCUGCCUGAUUCAUCAGGUUUUACAGACUAAUCCAAAAGAGAAAAAAUUACACAUUCACACAAGAAAAUUGUUUCCAUGUUCUAGAUUUCCAAAUAGAUUGAUGGAACUUUUGGAGUUUAGGUUCACAGCAGUUAUGUUUCUAAAAAUAUGCAGUUAAAUUAUUAAUGUGAUGUCAUUUGUUUUUCAUUACAUCAGGAAAAAACCUCCAGAUGUUUAUAUUUAAAUAUUUAAAACAUCUGAGCAGUACAUCUGAUUUUACCACUGAGAACUGCUCUAUGCUGGGCAAAUACACUGAAACGUGCAUUUCAGCAAAUUAUCAAUUAACCCUGCAAUCUCUCAAAAAAAAAAAAACCGACAAAAAAAACCCCCCUGAAAGUUGUUUAAAAUUGCUUUUUUUUUUUCCCAUUGGCAACAGACAUCUUUCGGUACUUAUUUAUAUGUGUCUGGCAAUUCUUUUUAAUCUCUUUACAAUGGCAGCGCAUCAUUGAUUACUGUAUAAAUUAGACCUGCAUUAAUCUGAUUUUGGCCAUUAAAGUUUUGUAUCAGCUGAGACAGGUAAUUUACCACUUAUUUCUGACAACUUUCUUUUAAAGGAAUCCGCAGUCUAACGGAACGCUUGCACGAUAAUAUAGAUUUAUUUUAACACAUUCUGACAUAACUCUUUUAGGGUCCAAAUUUUCAAGAGAGAUGAUACUUCAAGCAAGCCUAAUAGGGUCCAGUGGAAUGGAACUGCCCCGCUGGUCAGACCGGCACAGAAGACUGCGCUCUGAUGUCCCCUUUCAUCAUGCUCCGGUAGUCUUGGUUCUCAUCAUCCCCUGAUGAUGAUGAUGAUGAUGAUGGUGUGGUCUAGUGGUGCUGAGUUCCAAUGACCCAUAGAUUUUAUUUUAUAUAAUGGCUGAUCUUAAAUAUGCACUUGUAGGACCGGGACCUUCUUCAGGGAGAUUUUCUGAGUGGGGCUACUGUUUCCAGGUCAGUGCCAUCAAAUACUUCUUUUUUUUCUUUACCUUUAAAGUGAAACCCAGGAAAAAGUGCUGUCAUUUUACUCUGCUGAUUGUUAAUCAUUUGGAACUCUGCAAGUCAGAGGUACAGUUCAGUGUAUGACUCGUUUAAAUCUGGACCCUUGGUGCUUAGUUGCAGUGAACUGCAGUCACAUAAUUCUAAUGAAUAGAGCUGUGCUACUAAACCUGAACUUUGUCUAAGCCAUGUCACACUGUAAAACCUGACCUCCAACUCUUUACUCAAGUGAGGUCCCCAGAACAAGAGUCCUUGGAGCAUUGAACCUGCAUAAACCUGCAUUUAUUAAAACUUUCUGGGUCUCAUUUGCAUACAAAGAAAUGGGUUAGUCAGGAAUUAAUUGAGUUCAUCACAGUAGGAGGCAAGUCGUCCAAGUGCUUCUCGGCAUUCUGUUAAUGCUCAAACUCUUGAAUUAUGUACUUAAUCACUUGGCAUUUGAACUUAUACACACAUUUUUACAAGCCCUUUCCCACGGACUUAAGUGUGUUACAGUAGUCUAUAUUCAAGUGGUUGGAUAUACACAUUCUACAGUAAGUGAUCAUGUAAGUAAUGGCACUAAGACAACAGGACACCUUGUAUUUAAAAAUGUCACCACUAGCCUUGAUCCCACAAAAUACUGUUUGGCAUCGUCCUCGCAUGCGUUUUCAACAAAAUCAGCAAACAGACAAAGCUUACACAAUACGUUCAGGUGAAAGGACCAUAAUUACAGCGUGUGGAGAUCUACGUCUGGAUAUAGCUCGGAUCAUGCAAUCUGUAGACACAGCUUUCCCUCGGAUGAACCAUAUGGCCACUUUGUGACUGGCUCCUUACUAGAAAAUAGCAGAAACUGGGUCUCAGAACCCUACCAUGGUUAAGAAAUUCAAAGUGCUUGCCUAUAAGAAAUGUACAUAUUCAUCAGUGCCCUACUGCAUAAUGCAAAAACAUCAGAAUUUUUGUCACUGCAUAGCACUCUUACGCUGUAGAACCUUGUAAUAAGUGCUCUGAUCUGAUGAAAGAUUACAGGGGUGUUAAACAUGGUUCUAAUGUGCUCAUAUCUCACACAGGUUCAAAGAAUCUAUAUGAGCUCUCACGCUGUACUAGACAUAAUUGAGUGGAGAUGUUUCUUGAUUCAGUGAGGAAAAAUGAUAAAUAUUAAGGCUUCACUGGAUGUGAAGGAAAAAGGCUUUAAUCUAAUAGGGGGACGUUAUGGGUGAGGGGACCUGUGAAAUUUGCCUUUAUGUGAAAUACCAGUUCAUUUGAUGCAUCUGUUUCACAAGGUUAAGUCAUUAGGUGAAUAAAAGCUGUUAUAUAAUUUUGCUAAUGAACAUAAUUAAACUAUACAAUUUUGCUAUGCACUGUAAACGCAAAUCCAAAAAUUCUAAACAAGAAGAAAAUUAUCAGAGAGAGCCAUCUUUGAGAAUGUCUGUUAAUUGUGUGCUAUUAAUCGAAUCUACCUAUGUUCACCUGCAGAUGGUGCUGUCUUUAUGGACCCAGCAUUGUUUAACAAUGAAAUACCUGUUGAUUGACCAUAAUAAAAGAUUAAAAAUUGUGUGUGCGUGCAGAUAAAGUCACUUUUUGUUUCCUUUCAUAAACUACAUAUAUUUUUCAGCAGAGCCAGAAUGCAGAGAGAAUGUAGUAUGUAGGCACUGACACUAUUUCAGGCGAUCCACUUUUGGUCUAUAUGAAAUCAUUUCCUCUGCGAUGAGUCACAUGACUCAUUUAGUAACUCACCCAUUACUAGCAAACACAAUUCCUGUGCAACCCACAGGCAACAAAAGGGCUUUCACUUUCCUCCCAAUUAUAUCUGAGGAUUGAGUUUGUUUCCACUGUAGAAUCUAAUCAGUAAGAAUGAAUGGUACAUAGCUGUUUGCUUGAAACCAGGGUUUCGUGGCUGCACUGAUCGUCAUUUUGAAAGACUUGGUUGUACACAAUUUACAACUCUUGAGGGUAAUGGAAUAUUCACUUUGAUACGUGAUCAGCAUAAAAUGUUAUCAGAGCAAUGCACAGAGGAGUGUGUCAGAUUUACUAUGAUAACAGCCGAGGGGUUUUCCAUUUUCCCUGCAAUUCACAAGAGUCUGAUGGAAUUGUGCUAAAUCAUGUGUCGCUGAGGUGUGAGAUUUAUGUCUGCCUUAUAAUAUGCGUGGCCAUAUUAGUAGUACCAGAACCUUAAUAUGGUAAAUACAGUCAUGCAAACACAUAUAGCCUGUAGUUAACCCUUUCAGACACAGGCAUAGAAUUUCGUUCAAAACCUCAAUUUUUUAAACAUAAAUAGACCACAAACUAUUAGUCUAGAAUUCAUCUACAUAAAAUAUGAGGUACUGCUUCAUUUUGUUCUUGGUUUAUUCUAUCAUUGUUUUAAAAAUCAUUACUCACCUGUCCCCCAGUCCUGCUACUGCACUAGGGGACGCCCCCAUUCGUUGUAUUUUUUUUUUUUUUACUUUUUGUUACAUGCCUCCGCAGAUGACACACAAGCUGCCAGCAGACAUACAUUAUUAUGUUAUUCUUACUUGACAGAGUGCCCAGUGUGUCACUGUAUUUUGUGCUUAAUGUUCUGUGUAUUAGACUGAAUUUCCUGCUUCUGCUCUUGCACUGUUGUAUUGUACAUUCGCAGCCCUGUACUGUAGAUUGUACUGCUGUGCUGCUGUAGAGCUGCACCAAGAACCAGGAGAAAUGACAUCUCAUCCAAAUGCAUACAAAGUAUA